rnacentral:rRNA from 1 species
UAGAGCUUGAUCAUGGCUCAGAUUGAACGCUGGCGGCAGGCCUAACACAUGCAAGUCGACAGGCAGCACGGGUACUUGUACCUGGUGGCGAGCGGCGGACGGGUGAGUAAUGCCUAGGAAUCUGCCUGGUAGUGGGGGAUAACGCUCGGAAACGGACGCUAAUACCGCAUACGUCCUACGGGAGAAAGCAGGGGACCUUCGGGCCUUGCGCUAUCAGAUGAGCCUAGGUCGGAUUAGCUAGUUGGUGAGGUAAUGGCUCACCAAGGCGACGAUCCGUAACUGGUCUGAGAGGAUGAUCAGUCACACUGGAACUGAGACACGGUCCAGACUCCUACGGGAGGCAGCAGUGGGGAAUAUUGGACAAUGGGCGAAAGCCUGAUCCAGCCAUGCCGCGUGUGUGAAGAAGGUCUUCGGAUUGUAAAGCACUUUAAGUUGGGAGGAAGGGCAGUUACCUAAUACGUAUCUGUUUGACGUACCGACAG